GCUGUUUGGUUGCAGGCCCUGAGUGCCAAGCCAAAUUUUGGCCUUGCCCAUGUAAAUAGGCCUGCAUUUGGCUCUGCCCCAAAAUUUUGGCCUGCCCUAUUCCUGCCCAAGCCAAUUGUUGCGCGAAAUGGCAGCCCUGUUUUUUGGCCGGCCAAAUCCACUGCAAUGUGGUCACCGCGUAUAAAAAAGGACUCAGGUAGGCUUCCUCUCCUUUGUUCUCCUACAGCAGCAUCCUUUCCCUUUCCUCCUCAAGAGCAGCCGCAUCUCCCCCCAAUCUCAUCGCCACAGCAUGUGCAGAAGGAAGCAGCCGCCCAAGCCUCCGAGGACCACGCCGACGCCUUCGAGGGCGGGAAGCAUCCGUUCCGCGGCAAGCCUGGCGCGCUGCCCAUCUUCCUCCUCGUCGACCGCGGGAAUGGACAUCAAGCGACAGCAAUAUCUUAAUUACUGCAUGUGGAGGCAAAAGGCACUAGUUGUUGUUCUUAUGUUAGUCCUGUGGUGGAGAAACAGAGAUGGUAGGGAUAGACACAGGUGUGUGAAGUAUAGGCAACUAGUUAGUAGGGAUGUAUGGAUGUAUGGUGGACUAACGAACUUGAAGUGCAAGCGUGUCAAAUCACCAGCCAAGAAGCCAUCAAGGACAAGGCAAGCCGCAACAAAAUAACAAAUGAUGAGGUUUCAGUUAGUAUUGUGAGGCUUGCUGACUCUUUUGCAUCUUCUAACCCUACUGCUGCUGCACCUGUCCAAAAUAUUGAACAAUUGGACCCUCGUGCCGAACUUGGAAGCGCAUAGAAGACCUUACCAUCACAGCUAAGGACAAGUUGGAGAUUGGCGCCGAUCUUGCGAGGAAAGAUCAGGACAACUUCCGCAGUUACCUUACCUUUGCAGGUGAUGCUACUUUCCAAACUUGGGUCAUUGAAUUUUUGGACUACAAAUAUGGGGGUGGCGCUGACAGGGGCGGUUUUGGCUCUCUUUGAAGAUGCAUGUGUUGAUGGCAUUUUGUAAGUAAUGUAUGAUGCAGGUGAUGACUGGACACCUUAUCAGAUAUCACUAAGUUAUGAUGAUAAGCUUAGCUUAUGUAGUUGUGGUAACCCCUUAUGGUUAGGGUCUCCUGAUGGUAGGAUGACACUAAAGGUUAUUUUGUGUUGAGCUGUAGCAAUGCUACUUUUAAGUGGACAAUGGUGGACUGAUGUUGUCCUUAUUUUGUAACACUGUAUGCUACUUGUUCAUGGUGACCUGACGGCUGUACUUAUUUUGUAACACUGGAUGCUACACUUAAAUGGUGAAUUAAUGGUGAUUUUGUA